CAACCAGGAACAGUCGGGGACGUGGGACGGCGGCCACCAGAAAAGGGUCCGUUGAAAAAGGCAAAAUGCUGUUGCGCAUUCCGUGCGAGCGUCGCCACCAUUGGCAGGACGGUCGACAGAUCAAGGCGUUCGGCUUGCAACCCAGGGCGCCGCCGCGGGUGCCAAGAUGCUAUCUUCGUGCGGCUUCGAAUUUCUCCUGGGAAUCGGCAUGCCUGCUCAAUUGCUUUGGGAUGUUUUCCCCGUAGUAUGCAUGGGAAUAAGACUGUGUUACGCGUGGCAUGAAGAAAAGAAAGCGGAGUGCAUGCGGACCAGCUUACCUUCUGACGUCAGAGUCGCCCUCGCCAUGAUGCGCUACGCCCGAAACAUCAUGCUUCGUGGAAGGACUGGGCUGAAGGAAUCUUUGCAGUCGGUUCGUCGACAGGGUGAUGAAGUGCAAUAAAACUGCUAUACUGGC